GGGCCUCUAGCUCAGCCAGGUAGAGCACUGGACUUUUAAUCCAGGGGUCUGGGGUCCGAAUCCCCAGAGGCCCG
rnacentral:tRNA from 1 species